rnacentral:lncRNA from 1 species
CACAAAAAGCUAUGAACGGAGGGGAAAGUUGUAUACACCUUCAUAUGGAAUUGAGCGUGGCAACAAAUAAGGCUGAAGAGGACACAAUCACUGUUUUUCAGGAAGAUCACUCUCCAAACCCCUAACAGUACAAAGCGCUACAGAAGGACUAAGCGCUACAGAAGGACUAAGCGCUACAGAAGGACUAAGCGCUACAGAAGGACUAAGC